CCUCCUCCCGUCGGGCUCCCUGCGUCUGGCCCAGGCCCAGGCGGGUGACAGCGGUCUCUACCAGUGCAGAGCCAGUAAUCCCGCAGGGUCUGCCGCUCGGCACUACGUCCUCGGGGUGCAAGUCCCCCCUCAGGUGCAGCCAGGCCCGCGGGUCCUGAAGGUCCUGGCGGGUGAAGCUGUGGACCUGAACUGCGCGGCCGAGGGCACCCCAGAGCCCAGGCUCAACUGGUCCAAGGAUGGGGAGGCCCUGGGGGGCGGGGGGCCCGAGGGCUCCGUCCAUUUUGCAGCCAUCCGAACUUCUGAUGCUGGCGUGUACCGCUGCGAGGCCGCCAACAGCGCCGGGGUAGACGCCUGGGAGCUGGAGCUCAGGGUGCUAGAGCCACCGCACUGGGGAGCCGAGGAGACCAGCGGGCUGCUGGAGAGAGUGGCAGGGGAGAACGCCAGCCUGCCG